UUAAAAUCUAUUAAAUCAUGCAUCCCAAAUGAAUUAUUUUUCAGGAUUUGUAUACAAUGGAGUAUGAAAGCUUGCAGAAAAAACUCUCAGCCCUCUUAGAUUUUUUGAGGAAAAUCUGUGACGUCAACAUUCUGCUGAUAUAUUAUGUUUGAGAUCAAGGCAAAAAAAAACAAAAAAAACCCAAGCAACCUGACUGCUGCUUAUGCAACUCGUGUUCUACUUAAUCCCUGCAGCCUGCUCCCCGCUCCUGCCGCAGCCGCAGGGAAGAGUUCCCUCUCGCGGUGCGAUAAUGCCGCUACAAAAGGCACAAGUUGAACCAACGUCGAAACCCCAUAAGAAUCAAACUGACUAAGGACAUUUAUCAACUGGACUGUCAUUUUCUUCCUAACUUCAGUUCUGCAUAGUACUUUCAAUGGAAAUGUCCUUCCUGUGUCUUAAGGAUUUAAAAUACACAGGUGCCACUCAUUCAGGAACAGCAGUGUAGGUGAAAGAGAUGGAUCCCAGAGUGCUCAGCCUGUCAAAAAAAGUGGUACUGGUUACUCGCCGCAGCGUGRCUACGAACGGAGGUGCGUGCUCUUGAAUGCCUAUGGGUUAGCGUGGUACCUGGUAAAGGCUGGGGCAAGGCAGGAGCAGUAUGGAAGGUCGAUCACAGGCAACAAAGUUGAAAAAAAUUGUCCCUUAAUCUCCUAUUUAUAAAGAAUAGAAAAUUGUUUAAUCAUGGACAAGCAUAGCUCUGAUCUGGACACGGGGACGGUGCAGUUACGCAGGUGCUGUGCGUGAUGCUGCAGUGGAUGUUCUGCUAAAUCCACAUCUGGAAUCAUCACCGAGACACAGUUCAGGAGGGGCUCUGGAUGUCCCGUGCUGCCAGUACCUAAAACGCUCAAAUUUUAAAGGUGUAACUUUUUCUUUUCCAUAUAAGAUAAUGUACUAAAUAAGUAAAUGACCUUGUUGCCAGAAGGAAAACAAAUAAUUUACCAGCAGGAUCUGGACUUCCAUGGUUACCUAGGUAUCAUGACUGACUACAGUUGGUAGGGAUCAGAUAUACUCAGCAGCAUGAUUGGACCCUCAAAAAAGGAAUGAUUUCCUAGAGAAACCAGAGAAAAUUGUUUGUAAAAUUUACGAUAAGGUGAAGUGUAAACCAAAAAAAAGGGGGGGGGGGGAGGAAAAGUUAUUUCCAAAACAGUUACCACAUAGCAAAAAUUAAUCAAUGACAUAAAAGAACCACUAUAGCAAAAAUGCUCAUCCCACUUAAGAAGUGAAAUGCAGUCACAAUUAAAAAUAACAGUGAAAAGAGAAAAGAAAUAGAUUAUUUAGA
rnacentral:lncRNA from 1 species